CUAGAGAAAAAUGGAGGAAAAAUUGUUAUUCCAUUGAUGUAUUACACUGGGUGUCUCUAUAAAUAGCAAUGAAAAAAGAAUCUCCAGCUGUCAUCUAACAAACUAAUGUUGUACAAAUUAACUAUAUACAUUCUAAUAAGUCCCCUCAAGAUGUACUGUAUAUAUUCUUUACAGACAUCUUGCUAAUAGUGGGGAUAAGAUUGAAUUCGAAAGUGGUUUAGCAAAAAUAUCAGCUAGUUGAUGUUGAGAGCGAACAGGAAGAAGCUUACAAGUCAAGUAGAAACUGUCACGAAUGAAAUGGCAAUCAACUUCUAUAUGUUUUGUCUUUUCAUGUAAAAUGGAAUUGGAGGCUAAAUGAACUGCAGCAUGAUUGUCACAAAAAAGAAGAGCUAGAGAAGAAACAACAAACUGAAAAUCCUGCAACAAUCGUUGGAUCCAAAGAACUUCAUUGGUGGUUGCGGCAAGAGCACGAUAUUCAACUUCAGCUGAAGAACGGGAUACAGUAGCCUGCCGUUUUGCUUUCCAAGAGACCAAAGAAUUUCCAAUGAAAAUGCAAAACCCAAUUGUGGAUUUCCUCGUAUCAAUGCAAGAACCCCAAUCAGCAUCAGAAAAAGCCUGGAGUUUCAUAGGAGUAAUAGGAGAAGCUGAAAAGAAGAUACCUUGGCCAGGACUAUUCUUCAAAUAACGAAGAAGAUGAUGUGCAGCCUUCAAAUGUGGCAAUCGUGGUUGUGAGAGGAAUUGACUCAACUUGUGAACGGUAAAGGUAAUAUCAGGUCUCGAUAUGGUUAAGUAAAUCAACCGACCAAUGAGUCUUCUGUAUAGAGAAGCAUCCGGUAAAAGAUCCCCUUCAUGGAGGCCGAGGGACAACUUUGAGGACAACUUUGAGUCCAUAGAUGCAGCUACCGGUUUGCACUCCAAAUAGCCUGUGUCCUCAAGAAGUUGCAAUGUGUAUUGCCUCUGUGAAAGCUCAAUUCCUGAUCUGGAUCGGGCUAUUUCAAGCCCCAGAAAAUAUUUUAGUUUUCCCAAAUCUUUUAGUUUAAACUGAGAAUGCAAAAACUCCUUUAAUGAAUCAAUAACCUGCAUGUUUGGGCCUGUGAUAACGAUAUCAUCCACAUACACUAAUAAAGCCACAAAAUGAUCCCCAGAUCCUUUGGUAAAUAAAGAAUAAUCAGCUUUGGAUUGUGUGAAACCAAAAUGAAUGAGAUCCUGAGAGAAUUUUGAGUUCCACUGCCGCAAGGCUUGCUUGAAUCCAUAAAUGGACUUGUGUAAUUUGCACACUAACUUCACCCCAUUCCUGUUAGAUAUGCCUUGUGUAUCGUAUCCAAGAGGAAGAUCCAUGUAAACUUCUUCAAAUAAAUCUCCAUUUCGAAAUGCAUUAUUGACAUCGAGCUAUAUGAGGUGCCAACUUUGAUAAGAAGCAAGUGUCAAUAAAACUUUGACAGUUACUAUUUUAGCAACAGGGGAAAAUGUGUCAAAAUAAUCGAGCCCUUCUUUUUUAGUAUAACCUUUUGCUACAAGGCGUGCCUUGUGCCUUUCAAUAGUGCCAUCCGACCUGUAUUUUGUUUUAUAAAUUCAACGACACCCAAUGGAAUGUUUUCCUUGUGGCAAUGGGAUGAUAGACCAGGUGUUGUUACUCUCCACAGCCUGUAAUUCCAGUUUCAUAACCUCACGCCAUUGAGAGAGUUUGACAGCCUGAUGGAAGAAUUGUGGUUCACAAUGAGCUGAGACAUUCAACACAAAUUCCCUAUGGGAUGGGGAUAGAGCUGCAUAUGAAACAAAAUUUUCAAUGUGAAGAGACUUUUGAGCUGUCAUGUUGAAAUGAAAAUCAUUUAGAUAUGCAGGAGAUUUGAUGGUCCUUUGAGAACUUCGAAGAACACCAUUAGGCUGGACGGUAUUAGCAGGUUAUGAAUCAUGGGAUGGCAGACCAGGUGACAGAGAUUCUAAUGGGGAAGAUUCAUGUGGGAUAGGCUCAUGUUGAUCAAAACAAGGUUCCUGAUAUAAAGACAGUGUGGGCUUGGGUAACACCAAAUCAGGGAAAGGAUCAGUGAGUCGAUCUGCCUCCACAACUUUAUGAAAUGGAAAAAUAUCCUCAUGGAAAAUGACAUCUCUUGAUAUGAAAAUCCUCUGAUUUUAUAUCAUAAAGUUUGUAUCCUUUCACUCUAGGUGGAUACCCUAAAAAUACACAAAUUGUAGCACGAGGUUGGAACUUUGUUCGAUGAUUAGUCAAUGUUGAUGCGAAAGCCAAAGAACCAAACACCCUAAGACAUGAAUAAUCUGCAGGUUUAUCAUAUAAAACUUCAAAUGGAGAUUUAUUUUUCAAUAGAGGAGAUGGUAUCCUAUUGAUUAAAUAAGUGCUGUUAAUAUACAAUCUGUCCAGAAUUUAAUAGGUGUUUGAGAUUGGAAAUAUAGUGCCCUUGCCACAUUCGAGAGAUGUUGAUGUUUGCGUUCCACAAUUGAGUUCUGUUGUGGUCGUUCUACACAACUGAAUUGGUGUAGCACACCCCUUUCAGCAAACAUAUCAGUGAAGGCUUAUUCAGGUGCAUUAUCUAAUCUAAACACCUUGAUUUUCGAUUUGAAUUGGGUUUCCACCAUAUUAAAAACUCUUGGAAUGAGCAAGGCUGCAUCAGACUUAUUUUUCAACAGGUAAAGCCAUGUGAAUCUAGAACAAUCAUCCACCAAAGUUAGGAAAUAUUUAUGUCCUGUGUAAGAUUCAAUAUGGUAGGGUCCCCAAAUAUCACAAUGAACCAUGUCAAAGGGAUUGAUCGAAAGAUGAUUAUUACAUUCAAAAGAUAGUCUUCUUUUUUUUUUGCAAGGGGACAUAUAUAACAUGGUCCAACUUUAUUCAAUUUUGUACUGUCACGCAACAAAAGAGAUCUCAAAUUGUCCAAUCUUUUAAAAGACGGAUGGCCAAGUCUAUUGUGCCAAACCUGAACUGUUAACAUUUUUUACACAAAAGAUUGAUUCAGAAUUUAAAAUCCUUGUGUCAAGAAUUUAAAGAUUCUGCACAUGAUCACCCUUGCCAAUCAUCCUCAUGUUGUUGGCAUCCUGGACAGUGAAAUGAUUAGAAUAGAAACUGAUGCUGAGUUGUGAGGCAAACGUUAGUGCACUAACAGAAAGCAAAUUGAAUUUGAACGCACAAAUAGCGCAUCUUGAAGCACAAGAUUAGAACUUAACUGAACUUUACCACAUAGUUUAACUGGAAUUUGUAUGUGAUUCGCUAAGGUCACAGUUGAGUUUUCAACAAUUUUCCAUGUUAUAAAGGCAUCGGCAUAAGGACAAAUAUGCCUGGUGGCACCUGAAUCCACAAUCCAUAUAUUUUUGGAAGACAAAAUAGGAUGUAAAGAUACUGAAGAACAUAUACCUGUAGCAUAAGAAUUAGAUGUGUUACCAUGAAGUUCAGAAGUAUUUGUAUAUGAAGUCAGAUGAGUUGAGAACAUAGACAUCAAUUGUUGGUACUGACUUGAGCUGAGAUUUUGGACAAAAUUCCCAAAAUCAGGUUGCUUUCCUUCAGUUUGAGGAAUUGAAGAUGCAGAAACUUGAUUUACAGUGUUGGAACCAGCAUAAAUGGAAUGACUCUCCGUUUGUCUUUGUUUGUAUCCCGGCGGAUAACCAUGUAUUUUGUAACAUUUGUCAUUUGAGUGACCAUGAUAGUUGCAAUGAGUGCAAAAGGGCCUAUCCUUCUUUUUAUAAUUUCCAGCAGAUCUGGAUUUCGAUAUAUUGUUAUAACCAUCAGUUCCUUUGCUAUUUUCUGAUUUAAAGGCAAAAGCCAUAGCUCCACUUUGAUCAAAAUUGGAUGCAAUUUUUGUACCUAUUUUUCUUUGGUGUUCUUCCUGAGAAAUCAAGGCAAAUACUUUGUUGAUAGGAGGCAGGGGGUCCAUGAGAAGAAGCUGUUCUCUAACUUGAGAAAAGGAGUCAUGUAGUCCCAUGAGGAAGGACAUUAUAUACUGAUGAUGUUUGGACAACUCUUUCACUCCACCACAAGUGCAUUUUCCAAAGGUACAAUUAGGUCUAUAGUUACUCAAUUCUUCCCAAAGAGUCUUGAGUUUGGUAAAGUAAAUACUGACACUAUCCUGAUCUUGUGAAAGGUUCAUCAAUUCUUUUCUUAGCUAGAAAAUACGUGGCCCAUUCUUCUGUUGGAAUCUAUCUUUGAGAUCAGUCCAGAUCUCAUGAGCAUUAGUGGCAAAUAUUACGCUAGCAGAUAUCUCUUUGGACACCGAGUUUAAGAUCCAAGAGAUUAGAAUAUUGUUGUUUCGAGUCCAUGAAUUGAACAGAUCUGGAUCAUUACCUUCAGGCUUGUUUAUGGUUCCAUCAACAAAACCAAGUUUAUUCUUCACGGACAAAGCUAUCAGCAUUGCUCGACUCCAGGAGGCAUAGUUAUCUCCUGUGAGUUGUUGAGAAACGAGAAUCAAUCCUGGACUGUCAGAAUGGUGCAGGAAGUAAGGGCUGGAAGGGUCAUCAAUGGCAGAUCUGCUUGAAGACGACCUUGCAUUAUGAACAUUUACCGACCGUGUCGAUUCCAUUCGAAGUUCAGAAUUAGGAUUGAGAAACAGAAUAGUUAUAUCAAUGAAUUUUGAUCUAAUUGAAGGAAAAGGACGAAAAUGGACGCAGCAAGUGAUUUAGCUUUGAUACCGUAUUGAGCUAGAGAAAAAUGGAGGAAAAAUUGUUAUUCCGUUGAUGUCAUUGGGCGUCUCUAUAAAUAGCAAUGAAAAAAGAAUCUC
rnacentral:lncRNA from 1 species